rnacentral:lncRNA from 1 species
GCUUGACAAAAAGUUUUAUUUUCUGUUGUUUAUCACUAAAUGGUUGGUGAAGUAAUGAUGGAAGGAGAUAUUAAAUUGUUGUUUGUGAUAUCAAGUGGCUUGCCUACAAUAAAGGACCAUGAGCAUGUCACUGAUUUGCAAAUGCUUUCACUGCUACCUGUUAUUAAUCAUCCGAUUUCUUACUUUUCCAUCUAUGCAGAAACUAAAGCGAGCAAUUUUUUCUCUUAGGAAAUGAACCAUAAUGUUUCCUCUACUUAAUUAGUUCCAUUAGUUUAUAGGAAAUUUUGAUGGUCAUUAGUUCAUAACAGAUGAUGUAUUUAUAUGGGAAAAUUAAUGAAUGUGUGUUAUUAUUGUUUGCAUCCGGUUCAAUAUAUUUUGGAUGACAUGCACAUU